GGUCGAAGAACUGAUUCUGGUGCGGCUUGAAUAGGCCGGAGGAAAAUCUCGAUGGCGUUUUGUAGCUGUUAGCCUCUUCGCUCAUUGAGUUCGUUCUAUUUUCCUGCUCGAGCCCAUUGUAGGCUGCGGCUCCUUUGAGUUCAGAAAAAAGGCUGAACUGAACGCGGGGAUUGACUGUCAAACGUUGCCUCUACAAGACUUCUCAACUUUAGAUGGCGAGGUCUUGCUAAGUAGUUUGGUCAAGCAGGGCAGAUAGCAUAAUGGAUUCGUAUGGGCCUUAGACUGGGUAGGAAGCAUGUACUGGCAUCUUGCUUGCACCCCUCUCGUUGGUUGGGUAGGAAGCAUGUGAUGCUCAUUAGUUACCUGGUGUGGAUAUUGUUGGGCGAGUGCUGAUUCGUCCUUCACCAAUUUUUGAGGGUCUUGCUAGUUCGUAGAUCCUUGGAUAAGAUGCAAGUACACAAAAAUAUGCAUUUAACUCAACUGAUUGUUUUAUGUUGCGUCUGUCAAAACUAUCAUACUUUAUUUGAGUACUAGAGGAUAUUUUGUAAAUGGCCUCCCAUGUGCAAAUUCAUUGUGAGCUACCUCAAAAAUGUCUGCAAGCACAUCCCACACAAUUGAUAGCUCUGGAACUGAUGAUGAGCAUGAUUCAUCUCAACCACGUGUUAGGAGAUCAAAGGUAUGGCAAUUCUUUGAGCAAGAUUUGGUGAUGGUAGAUGACGUUUGGAAGGCAGUUUGCAAGUAUUGUGGGCUGAGACUUGGGGCUCAAUCGGGCACUAGUAGUCUUAGAAGUCAUAUUGCUACAACUUGCCCGGCUAGGGACUUUCUUGCUAUCCCACUCAGCACUGUAUCAUCUGAAUCGGUUUUUAGUUGUGGCAAUAGGAUUCUUGGGGACACAAGAGGCUCGCUAACGCCACAGAUGUUGGAGGCUUUAGUUAGUGCGAAAGAUUGGCUCACUAUAGUCCAAGAUAAAGAUAAGGAUAAGGACGAUGAAGGGAUCUUAAGUGAAGUUGCUGGGGUUGGUGCAGGGCAAAAUGUGCCACAGGUGGAAUCAGCUGGACCGGUGGGGGCUUAACCGAUGGAAUUAGCAAUCAUCUGUCUAUGACUCGAUGGAUAUUGAUCAAACAGUUUCAUUUGGUGCAGCCAUGUGCGUCUAUUCAAGACUCUUUAUGAGGUAUAUGGAGAACAAAGAACCGGAGGCUCAGCAGUAAAAAAAGAGUAUAAACCUGCAUUUACCUUCCCAAUAAGAGUGACCUGCAGCAGCAGCUUUAUCUGCCGGAGUCUUAUUUAUGUUGUAUCUAGUGGCACAUGUAAGCAUAUGUAUGGCCAUAUGGCACAAUUCACUCACCGCCAAAACCUGUGUGCAUACGUUGUGAUUUUUU